GCACGCCGCGUGAGUGAAGAAGGGUUUCGGCUCGUAAAACUCUGUUGUCAGGGAAGAACGCCGGUGGGAGUAACUGUCCAUCGGGUGACGGUACCUGACCAGAAAGCCACGGCUAACUACGUGCCAGCAGCCGCGGUAAUACGUAGGUGGCAAGCGUUAUCCGGAAUUAUUGGGCGUAAAGCGCGCGUAGGCGGUUCGUUAAGUCUGAUGUGAAAGCCCCCGGCUCAACCGGGGAGGGUCAUUGGAAACUGGCGAACUUGAGUGCAGAAGAGGAGAGUGGAAUUCCAUGUGUAGCGGUGAAAUGCGCAGAGAUAUGGAGGAACACCAGUGGCGAAGGCGGCUCUCUGGUCUGCAACUGACGCUGAUGUGCGAAAGCGUGGGGAUCAAACAGGAUUAGAU
rnacentral:rRNA from 1 species